rnacentral:lncRNA from 1 species
UUGACGAAAACACCGGGUCUAAGUAAGUAUCUUUUUUAUUUUGGUAUAUGGAUUGUAUGAAGAUUUGAAAAACACAUAUAACUUUUGACUUUGCAGGACAAAUUUCAUUAGGAAUUUUCUUGUUGUAGAAGUAGAUUUGGCUAAAAGUUAGGUGCUUUUCCAAAUUGUGUUUAAAAGUCACAAGGAUAUCUUUGAUUUCUUGGAUUUGGAAAAGUGCAAGGAAGAGAGAGAAGAAGGAAUCUGGAUAGCUUGCUAGUUACCAAAUUUGGGAAAAGAAUGGAAGAACAUGAAUAGAGUUGCGGUGGAUAAUGAGACCAUCGGUGACAAGAUUUGAACCCGUGACAUGUGCCUAACCUACACGUCAUUUGUCACACUUUUAUCACUAGACGAAAGCCCCGGGUUGCAGCUAAUUAAUAUAUGGUCAUGGUCACAGGAAUUUAAUUAAGAACAUUGGUAGG